rnacentral:rRNA from 1 species
AUAAAAUUUUAUGAUUUAAGAAAUUCAUUAUAAAUUUAUUUUACAUACAAAUUUUAGUAAGAAUUUUUAAUUAUUUUAAAAAUAAUUAAUAAUUAAGGUAGUAAUUAAAUUUAAAAAUUUAAGAAAUUAAGAUUUAGUAAUAUUUAAAUUAAUAACAAAUUUUGUGCCAGCAGUUGCGGUUAUACAAAAAUUAAAUUGAAUUUUUUUAGUUUAUAAUAAUUAAUUAAUAAAUUUAAAUUAAACAUUAAAUUAUUAGGUAAAAUUUUAAUUUAAUAAAAUUUUAUAAAAAAUUUAUGAUUUAAUAAAUUUAUAAUUAAACUAGGAUUAGAUACCCUACUAUAAAAUUUUUAAUAAAAAUACUAAAAUAGUAAAUAAUUAUUUAUUGAAACUUAAAUAAUUUGGCGGUAUUUUAGUUCAUUUAGAGGAAUCUGUUUAAUAAUUGAUAAUCCACGAAUAAAUUUACUUGAUUUAAAAUUUUGUAUAUCGUUGUUAAAAAAAUAUUUUUAAAUAAAAAUAAUAUUUAAAAUUUUUUAUAUAAAUUAAUUCAGAUCAAGAUGCAGAUUAUAAUUAAGAAUAUAAUGGAUUACAAUAAAUUUAUUUAAAUGGAAAUUAAUUUUGUAAAAAUUAAUAAAAAGUGGAUUUAAAUGUAAUUUUAUUUAAUUUAAUAAAAUGAUUAAAAAUUAAAAUAUGUACAUAUUGCCCGUCACUUUCAUUUAAAAGUUGAAAUAAGUCGUAACAAAGUAGAAGUACUGGAAAGUGUUUCUAGAAUGAA